CGCGGUCCGAUUCGUUCUUCCUUUGUUCAUUAGACGUUUUCGUCGAGCAAGCUCGUUCGUCUGUUGUUGUUUUUCUGAUGACCGGUCGCAGUUUGAAAGAGGAGAAUAAUUUUGUAGACCUACUGACGGGCGAUUUGACGAGGACGAAGGACGUCGAUCUUCUCGGCUCUUUGCCUGCGCACGCUAACACACUAACGGCGACGUUGCUACCCACCUCAAUUUUGAAGCCAUCGCAGCGAGAAAACAAGUCAACUGCCGCCGAUGUGGAUAAGCGCAAAGUAACAUUCAGAGAGGAUUAUUUCAAGAGCGACGAAGUCCAGGCUGACGUCGAACACUCCAAGUGGGGAGACAUACGAGAACUAGACGAGCAAGAGAACUGGGCGGAAAGAAAUCAAGUCGUUACGAAGCUAGAACACGAGGCCAACUGCGUGAGUUGUAGGGAAAUUUUGUUAGACUUAGUCAGCAAGUUGCCAGCUUUCUUGAAGGACAGAAGCAUGCAACACACGAGUGAUGAACAGAGAAAGGAAGACUUUACCGAUGAUGAAUUUAGACCAGCAAGUGAAGUGUUUGGAACAGGAGAUGAUGAUAAGCAGUUUGAACUCGACUAUCUGGAGUCGCUUCACUCUAGUAUCGAACCUACGGCUAUUGCACUUGCUCGCCAAUCUUUAUAUGUGAAGUUUGACCCACUAGUGAAAGAAGAAAUGCCUGAUGGAGCUGCUUUCUCUCUAGCUAUGGGAACUUCGUCUCCAGAUGUUGAGUCUCAUUCUGCAGUUAAAUUGAAAGACAAUCUACUGCAACUGAAUACUCCAGAGAAUACAUCUGUUAAACGGCGUGUGCCCAAAGAGUCUAUUUUGUCUCGUCAAGUGUUAUCGAAUACAAAGGACCCAGUGUCGGUUGUGGAAGGAAGUGAGCGUCUGCAGGGCGUUGAUCAACUUCUGUUUAAUAGUCCCAAGGUUACGUCAUCAGAAGAGACAAAGGAGAGUGCAAGAGACGAACCUGUUGAGUCGGAGUCUGGUUUAGUCGAGGUGCUGGUGUAUACUCAGCUGGACUUGGAGGAGAGAGUUGAUGCAGCUGUGAAGACUGCAGUCGAAAAUGCAGCAGAAAGUCUGCAGGCACAUCACGAACAAGAGUUGUUACUGAUGCAAGCAGAGGUUACAAGAACAGACGAACAAGUUGUUGCUCUGAAGAGAGAAAAUACGGAGUUGAAAAGUAUGGUUGCAGAUCACGAGAAACAUGCAGCACAACACAGAGAUUUGAGUGACUCUAAACUAGCUGAUGUGGCAGAAGCAAGACGAGAGCGAGACGUGAUGCUUGUAGACUUCAACUCGAUCGAAAGAGCAUUUGCAGACCUGCUCAAACGAUAUGAAAGAGGAAAAGUGAUUAACGAGAAACUAAAGAAAGACUGUGAAGAGAGAGACAAGUCAUUAGAAGAGUGUAGAGACAAGUUAACUCGAAGUGAGCAGAAAUAUAAAUCUAUGAAAGCCCAGGCCACAGAGAAGAUUACAAGUGCCCAGAAUGAAGUUUCGAAACUCAACAAAGCAAAGCAGCUUGAAAUGGCCGCAAUGCAAGCAAAUAUGAAGAAAGAAAGCAUUCGUGUAGCUACUCUUGAAAGACAGCUGCAGGACAAGGGAAAGGAGAUACAAGAGUUGUCUUCUAUAUGUGAAGACCUCAUGAAAACGAUGAAUCAAAAUCAAUGAUUGUGACUGCACUGAGUGUAAUGCACAAUUUAGGUUGACCGAUAAACAUGCUCUUAAUUACCGUUGUGUAUAUAUAAUUGUGGUGUUUGAAUGGUGAUAAUUUGUUUUGCACGUUGAAAAA